rnacentral:rRNA from 1 species
ACGCUCGACACCUACGAGAGGCAGCAGUGGGGAAUAUUGCACAAUGGGGGAAACCCUGAUGCAGCGACGCCGCGUGGAGGAAGAAGGUCUUCGGAUUGUAAACUCCUGUUGUUGGGGAAAAAGAGGAUGGUACCCAACAAGGAAGUGACGGCUAACUACGUGCAAGCAGCCGCGGUAAUCUGAGCGGGCUGGCAAGGC